UGGGGAAUAUUGGACAAUGGGCGCAAGCCUGAUCCAGCCAUGCCGCGUGGAUGAAGAAGGCCCUAGGGUUGUAAAGUCCUUUCGGUGGUGAAGAUAAUGACGGUAACCGGUAAAGAAGCCCCGGCUAACUUCGUGCCAGCAGCCGCGGUAAUACGAAGGGGGCUAGCGUUGUUCGGAAUUACUGGGCGUAAAGCGCGCGUAGGCGGGUCAUUAAGUCAGGGGUGAAAUCCCGGGGCUCAACCUCGGAAUUGCCUCUGAUACUGGUGACCUCGAGUCCGAGAGAGGUGAGGUGAACUCCGAGUGUAGAGGUGAAAUUCGUAGAUAUUCGGAAGAACACCAGUGGCGAAGGCGGCUCACUGGCUCGGUACUGACGCUGAGGUGCGAAAGCGUGGGGAGCAAACAGGAUUAGAUACCCCGGUAGUCC
rnacentral:rRNA from 1 species